AUACGGAGGGUGCAAGCGUUACUCGGAAUCACUGGGCGUAAAGCGCGCGCAGGCGGCUUGAUAAGUUGGAUGUGAAAGCCUACGGCUCAACCGUAGAACUGCAUCCAAAACUGUCAGGCUAGAGUGUGAGAGAGGAAGAUGGAAUUAGUUGUGUAGGGGUAAAAUCCGUAGAGAUAACUAGGAAUACCAAAAGCGAAGGCAAUCUUCUGGAACACUACUGACGCUGAGGCGCGAAGGCGUGGGGAGCAAACAGUAGUAGAAACCCCAGUAGUCC
rnacentral:rRNA from 1 species